GACGAACGCUGGCGGCGUGCUUAACACAUGCAAGUCGAGCGGUAAGGCCCUUUCGGGGGUACGACGAGCGGCGAACGGGUGAGUAACACGUGGGUGACCUGCCCUUAGCUCUGGGAUAAGCCUGGGAAACUGGGUCUAAUACCGGAUAUGACUCCAUGACGCAUGUUGUGGGGUGGAAAGCCUUGUGCGGCUAGGGAUGGGCCUGCGGCCUAUCAGCUUGUUGGUGGGGUGANGGCCUACCAAGGCGACGACGGGUAGCCGGCCUGAGAGGCGACCGGCCACACUGGGACUGAGACACGGCCCAGACUCCUACGGGAGGCAGCAGUGGGGAAUCUUGCGCAAUGGGCGAAAGCCUGACGCAGCGACGCCGCGUGGGGAUGACGGCC
rnacentral:rRNA from 1 species